UGGGGAAUAUUGGACAAUGGGGGGAACCCUGAUCCAGCCAUGCCGCGUGUGUGAAGAAGGCCUUAUGGUUGUAAAGCACUUUAAGCGAGGAGGAGGGUACUGGUAUUAAUACUACCAGGUACUGGACGUUACUCGCAGAAUAAGCACCGGCUAACUUUGUGCCAGCAGCCGCGGUAAUACAGAGGGUGCGAGCGUUAAUCGGAUUUACUGGGCGUAAAGCGUGCGUAGGCGGCUAAUUGAGUCGGAUGUGAAAUCCCCGAGCUUAACUUGGGAAUUGCAUUCGAUACUGGUUAGCUAGAGUGUGGGAGAGGAUGGUAGAAUUCCAGGUGUAGCGGUGAAAUGCGUAGAGAUCUGGAGGAAUACCGGUGGCGAAGACAGCCAUCUGGCCUAACACUGACGCUGAGGUACGAAAGCAUGGGGAGCAAACAGG
rnacentral:rRNA from 1 species